UGAAUACGAGACGCUAAGGCGUCGAAGUAGUGUAUGUCAUACUUCCAGGAAAAGCUUGCACUGUCAUAGAUAAAAAACGCCUGUACCAUAACCGACACAGGUGGGUAGGUAGAGUAUACUAAGGGGCGCGAGAUAACUCUCUCUAAGGAACUCGGCAAAAUAACUCCGUAACUUCGGGAGAAGGAGUGCCUUAUUCGUAAGGUUGCAAUAACAAGAUCCAAGCAACUGUUUAUCAAAAACACAGGUCUCCGCUAAGUCGUAAGACGAUGUAUGGGGGCUGACGCCUGCCCAGUGCCAGAAGGUUAAAGAAGUUGGUUAGCAAUUGCGAAGCUGAUAACUGAAGCCCUGGUGAACGGCGGCCGUAACUAUAACGGUCCUAAGGUAGCGAAAUUCCUUGUCGGGUAAGUUCCGACCCGCACGAAAGGCGUAAUGAUUUGGAUACUGUCUCGGAGAGGGGCUCGGUGAAAUAGACUUGUCUGUGAAGAUGCGGACUACCUGCACCAGGACAGAAAGACCCUAUGAAGCUUUACUGUAACUUGAAAUUGAAAUUGGACUUUAUUCGCGCAGUAUAGGUGGGAGGCGUUGAUUAUAAUCUUGUGGGAUUAUUGGAGCCAUCAGUGAGAUACCACUCUUGUAAUGUUAGAUUUCUAACUUUGAAUCAUUAUCUGGUCAAAGAACAGUUUCAGGCGGGCAGUUUGACUGGGGCGGUCGCCUCCUAAACGGUAACGGAGGCGUACAAAGGUUUCCUCUGAACGGUUAGAAAUCGUAUCUAGAGUGUAAAGGCAUAAGGAAGCUUGACUGUGAGACCUACAAGUCGAGCAGGGACGAAAGUCGGUCUUAGUGAUCUGACGGUACUGAGUGGAAAGGCCGUCACUCAACGGAUAAAAGUUACUCUAGGAUAACAGGCUGAUCUCCCCCAAGAGUUCACAUCGACGGGGAGGUUUGGCACCUCGAUGUCGGCUCAUCGCAUCCUGGGGCGGUAGUACGUCCCAAGGGUUGGGCUGUUCGCCCAUGAAAGCGGUACGCGAGCUGGGUUCAGAACGUCGUGAGACAGUUCGGUCCAUAUCCGGUGUAGGCGUUAGAAUAUUGAGAGGAGCCUUCUUUAGUACGAGAGGACCGAGAAGGACAUACCUCUGGUGUACCAGUUAUCGUGCCAACGGUAAACGCUGGGUAGCUAUGUAUGGAGUGGAUAACCGCUGAAAGCAUCUAAGUGGGAAGCCCACCUCAAGAUAAGUAUUCUC
rnacentral:rRNA from 1 species